rnacentral:rRNA from 1 species
UACGGAGGAUGCGAGCGUUAUCCGGAAUGAUUGGGCGUAAAGGGUGCGUAGGCGGCCUGCUAAGUCUGGAGUGAAAGGUACCGGCUCAACCGGGUAUAGGCUCUGGAAACUGGCGGGCUAGAGAGCAGGAGAGGGCGGUGGAACUCCAUGUGUAGCGGUAAAAUGCGUAGAUAUAAUGGAAGAACACCAGUGGCGAAGGCGGCCGCCCUGG